rnacentral:tRNA from 1 species
GGAGAGGUGCCGGAGUGGUUGAACGGGCUCGCCUGGAAAGCGUGUGUGCCCCCACCGGGGUACCGAGGGUUCGAAUCCCUCCCUCUCCG